rnacentral:rRNA from 1 species
UACAGAGGGGGCAAGCGUUUUUCGGAAUUACUGGGCGUAAAGGGCGCGUAGGCGGCCUUCUAAGUCGAACGUGAAAUCCCUGGGCUUAACCCAGGAACUGCGUCCGAUACUGGAAGGCUUGAAUCCGGGAGAGGGAUGCGGAAUUCCAGGUGUAGCGGUGAAAUGCGUAGAUAUCUGGAGGAACACCGGUGGCGAAGGCGGCAUCCUGGACCGGCAUUGACGCUGAGGCGCGAAAGCCAGGGGAGCAAACGGG